CCUACGGGAGGCUGCAGUGAGGAAUAUUGGUCAAUGGACGAGAGUCUGAACCAGCCAAGUAGCGUGAAGGAUGACUGCCCUAUGGGUUGUAAACUUCUUUUAUAUGGGAAUAAAACGUUCCACGUGUGGGAUUUUGUAUGUACCAUAUGAAUAAGGAUCGGCUAACUCCGUGCCAGCAGCCGCGGUAAUACGGAGGAUCCGAGCGUUAUCCGGAUUUAUUGGGUUUAAAGGGAGCGUAGGUGGAUUGUUAAGUCAGUUGUGAAAGUUUGCGGCUCAACCGUAAAAUUGCAGUUGAUACUGGCAGUCUUGAGUACAGUAGAGGUGGGCGGAAUUCGUGGUGUAGCGGUGAAAUGCUUAGAUAUCACGAAGAACUCCGAUUGCGAAGGCAGUUCACUGGACUGCCACUGACACUGAGGCUCGAAAGUGUGGGUAUCAAACAGGAUUAGAUACCCUAGUAGUC
rnacentral:rRNA from 1 species